rnacentral:rRNA from 1 species
GAUGAACGCUGGCGGCGUGCCUAAUACAUGCCAGUCGAGCGAACGGACGAGAAGCUUGCUUCUCUGAUGUUAGCGGCGGACGGGUGAGUAACACGUGGAUAACCUACCUAUAAGACUGGGAUAACUUCGGGAAACCGGAGCUAAUACCGGAUAAUAUUUUGAACCGCAUGGUUCAAAAGUGAAAGACGGUCUUGCUGUCACUUAUAGAUGGAUCAGCGCUGCAUUAGCUAGUUGGUAAGGUAACGGCUUACCAAGGCAACGAUGCAUAGCUGACCUGAGAGGGUGAUCGGCCACACUGGAACUGAGACACGGUCCAGACUCCUACGGGAGGCAGCAGUAGGGAAUCUUCCGCAAUGGGCGAAAGCCUGACGGAGCAACGCCGCGUGAGUGAUGAAGGUCUUCGGAUCGUAAAACUCUGUUAUUAGGGAAGAACAUAUGUGUAAGUAACUGUGCACAUCUUGACGGUACCUAAUCAGAAAGCCACGGCUAACUACGUG